GUAGGGAAUAUUGGGCAAUGGAUGCAAGUCUGACCCAGCCAUCCCGCGUGUCGGAAGAAGGCCCUCAGGGUUGUAAACGGCUUUUGACGGUGAAGAAUCGACAGGAUGCGUCCUGUUUUGACGGUAGCCGUUGAAUAAGCACCGGCUAACUCCGUGCCAGCAGUCGCGGUAAUACGGAGGGUGCGAGCGUUGUCCGGAUUUAUUGGGUUUAAAGGGUGCGUAGGCUGGAAGGUCAGUCAGCGGUGAAAAGCUGUCGCUUAACGAUAGUCUUGCCGCAGAUACUUCCUUUCUUGGAUGAGGAGGAGGCCACUGGAACGGAUGGUGUAGCGGUGAAAUGCAUAGAUAUCAUCCAGAACACCGAUUGCGAAGGCAGGUGGCUGUACCUUAAUCGACGCUGAUGCACGAAAGCAUGGGGAGCAAACAGGAUUAGAUACCCAGUAGUCC
rnacentral:rRNA from 1 species